CCAGACAACAGUUGAGGAAAGGCAAUAUGCUAAAGGGUUAGAGUUCCUGCAUGUAUCUUCUGAGUACUCUGUUCAUGCCAUCUGUGUACAGGAAGUCUACAUUGUAAUACAAACUCCAGUAUAAGGUAGACGCCAGGAACAUGGGGUGUUCACCAGCAGUCGAUGAAGGGAUGUAGUAGAGACAGAGGCUAUAAGCACCAGAGGAAUCACAACAUGGUGGUAGGGCUACUUAAUCCUGGCAGAACUCAGAUGAUGCCAGUGGCAGCCCCAGAUGCUGGUCAGGAAUUGGAUGUUUCUCUGGCUUUUUUUAGUCUCAUUUUAACUUUCUAUAUUCUCAUUCUUCCCAUUCCACACCAUACCAUUGCAUAUUCUAUGUAUGUACCUUGAGUUUUGAUAUUUGUAGGAGAAUGUUGUUAAGACAUUGACUUAAAUCUUAGAAGAGACUUUGAGCUUUAGAGCAAUAUAGAACAUUAAGACUUUGGGAAGGCAUAAAGUUGGGCUGUGAGAUUACCAUGUGUCUUUGUGUCCCAACAAUGACUAUUUUGACUUCAGAGUGAUGUGGUCAGGUGUCACAUUGACAGGGGGUGUAUUUGACGUAGUUAUAUUUCAUUGUCAACAUGGCAGGGUAUGGUGAAGGCCUUUCCAGGAAAGUUAACCUGAGGAGGAAGAUUCUUCCUAAACAUGGCGAAACUAUUUAGUCAAUUGAAAACAACAAACUUUCUGGUGCUAAUGAUUCCUGGUUUGUGACUAGCAGCAGUUGGCAAAACAGACAAAUGUAUCGCCCUCUACAGGACAGAUGAUACCUCACCAAUUUGGAAUGACUAUCAGAAAGCUUCAUUUCUUCACUGUUUAACAUGAGCAGUUUUUACCAGUGUGGAGACAGCAACAUUCAAAUGUUGGCCUGACGUGUUCCAGGCAUCAACCAUAACUCCAAAGUAAAGAGUGUAAUUUAAUAUACUG